ensembl:miRNA
GCUGGGCGUGGUGGCGGGCGCCUGUGAUCCCAGCUACUCAGGAGGCUGAAGCAGGAGAAUCACUUGCACCCUGAAGGCGGAGGUUGCAGUGAGC